AACGAACGCUGGCGGCAGGCUUAACACAUGCAAGUCGAACGCCCCGCAAGGGGAGUGGCAGACGGGUGAGUAACACGUGGGAACGUACCCUUUGGUUCGGAAUAACCCUGGGAAACUAGGGCUAAUACCGGAUACGGCCGGGAGGCGAAAGGUUUACUGCCGAAGGAUCGGCCCGCGUCCGAUUAGCUUGUUGGUGGGGUAAUGGCCUACCAAGGCUUCGAUCGGUAGCUGGUCUGAGAGGAUGACCAGCCACAUUGGGACUGAGACACGGCCCAAACUCCUACGGGAGGCAGCAGUGGGGAAUAUUGGACAAUGGGCGCAAGCCUGAUCCAGCCAUGCCGCGUGAGUGAUGACGGCCUUAGGGUUGUAAAGCUCUUUUACCUGGGAAGAUCAUGACGGUACCAGGAGAAUAAGCCCCGGCUAACUUCGUGCCAGCCGCCGCCGUAAAAC
rnacentral:rRNA from 1 species